GAAAUGAAUUUCACCACAAAACACACACUCUUCCCUGAGCUGCUGUGUUUUACACUGUGCAGGGAAUCCGAGGACUUCGUCUGCAAAUCUCAAGGCAUGAAGAGCAGAGAAAAGCAUAAGAAUCUGACCUUUGAAGAGUUUAUCUGGAAAAGGGAUUGCUGUUUGGCGUCCUGAAGGUAUCUUCAGAAAGUCCCCUCAAUUUGUUUAGAUGUCAUUGUCACCUUUGACAGCGGUAGUUGCUCUUUGUCUUUUGACUACAAAAAGCCUUGCUAGCUUCCCUCCCCACCCCUGUUCUGUUUGUAUGUGUUUUUUAAAAAGAGGCCUCCCAAGGACAAAUUGCUCAACUCUUCUUGGAGCAAAUAAUCCCACUUUUGAGUAGCAUUGAGCAAAUUCUCAUGGGAAGAGUGGGGGGGGGCAUGAUGAGAGUGUGAUCACACCCCAUCACAAUCACAUUUUCACCUGCUCAUGUGAUCGGGCACAGCUGUGACUUGCUAGUAAUUACUUGCCUGUAGCUGAGACAAAGCUCCCAGUUUUAUAACCAGCUGUUUUAUUCAUGUGUCCAUGUUGUGCUCCUAGCCUUUUUUUGGGGGGGGGUGUAGUUUAGAAACUGCUGCUCAGUUUUUCAGCCAGUAGGGCUUUUCAGAGGCCCUGCAUCUGAUGUCCCAGCUGAUUAGAUGUACUGUGGGUUGGGGAUCCCAUAAUGUUAGUCGUAUGGUCAGGGAUUGCAUUCUGCAGGGGAAAGGGAUGCUGAAUACAGAUCGUGUCUUGGGUCCAGAAGAUCCAGUCAGCAGUACUGAUCAGGAGGAUUCUAGAAAACUGUUGUGAAACAGUGGGUCCUACCAUAACAGCCUUGCCUUUUAUUUAUUGGAUCUUACCAAUUUAUAAGUGAUCUGCACUGUUGAGCACCUUCUGAAAAUUGUAUAUGUUCAAAGGAUACCAAAGUAUGUAAUACUGCCUGUUUGUGUGGAUACAAAUCUGAGUUAUUGUUAAAGCAAUUCAAUUUUUUUAAUGGUUUUCUCUUGCAUCAGCUUCAUUAAUUCAUCGACU